GAAUUCGCCUUUAGGAGGGGGAUAACAGGGGGAAACACCUGCUAAAACCCCAUAUGCCUUCGGGUCAAAAGAGUAAUCUGCCUAAAGAGAAGCUCGCGGCUGAUUAGCUAGUUGGUAGGGUAAAGGCCUACCAAGGCGACGAUCAGUAGCUGGUCUGAGAGGACGAUCAGCCACACUGGAACUGAGACACGGUCCAGACUCCUACGGGAGGCAGCAGUGAGGAAUUUUCUGCAAUGGGCGAAAGCCUGACAGAGCAAUACCGCGUGAGGGAAGAAGGCUUACUGAGUUGUAAACCUCGGUGCCUUAAGGAAGAAGAUCUGACGGUACUUAGGGUGGAAAGCAUCGGCUAACUCCGUGCCAGCAGCCGCGGUAAGACGGGGGAUGCAAGUGUUAUCCGGAAUUACUGGGCGUAAAGCGUCUGCAGGUGGUUUCCUAAGUCCAAUGUUAAACCUUGAGGCUCAACCUCAAAUCAGCAUUGGAAACUAGGAGACUUGAGUAUAGUAGGGGUAGAGGGAAUUUCCAGUGGAGCGGUGAAAUGCGUAGAUAUUGGAAAGAACACCGAUGGCGAAGGCACUCUACUGGGCUAUUACUGACACUCAGAGACGAAAGCUAGGGGAGCA
rnacentral:rRNA from 1 species